GUUCCUGUGGUAGUGAGUCAGUCUCAUGAGAUUUGAUGGUUUUAUCAGGGGUUUCUGCUUUUGCGUCUUCCUCAUUCUCUGCCUGCUGCCAUCCACGUAAGAUGGGACUUGCUCCUCCUUGCCUUCUGCCAUGAUUGUGAGGCUUCCCCAGCCAUGUGGAACUGAGGCAGCACCAGCCGAAGCAGAGACUGAAGCCUGAAGUCACCUGAGCCCUGAAUCCAGUCAUACCUGAAGCUACAUCUCCCAGUGGACUGGUUUUGUGAGCUCAUAUUGCUGAAGUCAGCUUAUUUUAUUUUAAAAUUUGCAACUGAAAGAGUCCUAACUGACUCAAAGGCACUCCCAGAUGCUGAUUCCUCCAGGAAGCCUCCCAUAACCUCUCCCCUCUGUGUUUGGACCACGCUUUGUGCCUGAUACUCUUAUGUCAUCCUUUUCCCUUCCUGCUGGCUUGCCUGGAUUUGCAGUGAUUUGUUUACACAUGGGUCUCCCAGGCAGCUCCCACCUUACCAUCCUAGCGUCUUGCAUGUAGCACCGAGCAGGGAGCCUCAUGCCUGGCAGUAAUGUUUAGUGAGUGUCUGGUGCCCUUUCUCCACUGGCACCAGGGCAGAGUUCAGCUUUUAGUAAAAGGCCUUCUCCUAGGAGGCACCCCAUGUGAACUUUGCCCAGAUCACUGCGUUGGUGGGUGCGGGGCUGGUGCGUACCAAUGGCCUCCAGGAUGAGCAUGUAGGUGGCUGUGGUCUCCCGGUCCAGGCUCACCACAGUUCUCACAAUGGCAUCGCGGUAACCCACGCUGAACUUCCCAUCCAAGUUGCCACCUGUGGAUGAAGGACAGGAAGCUUUGGGCUGGGAAACAGAGCUCCCAGCCAGGAAAAGGCGGGGCUCUGCUCCUGAGCUGGGACCUGCCAUGGCAGGUCUUGGACAGAGAGAAGACUGAGCCGGUAAAAGGGCCAAGGGGGUUGAAGAACGGGGAAGACUGCACCCCCAUGUGUCCCGGCACCUCUCAUGUGUGUCAGGGAGGCUGAGAAGCUGUUCUCAUCCAGAGAUGGCAAGUCCAAGGCAUGUGUGCCACCACCUACCAAUCCUCCCACCGUGGCAGACAUCACCAAUCCACUGCGCCCCCUUUCCCCUGUGAGCCAGGACAUGGCCUCAUCAUCUGUGGCCACAGCUCUCCAGUUCAGCCAGACCACCCGGAACUCACGCGGCACAUCCUCGGACACGGACACGUUGUACACGGCUGGGAAGAAGGUGGGCAUCUCAUCGUUCACAUCCAGCACUGCAGGGGAGAAUGGGCGUCAGGGCUAGGCCUGCCUUCUGCUGCAGACGACCCAGCUUCAGAGCAGCGGCUCCAGCUCCAGCUCCAGACCAAGUAGGGAACGAAUUCCCAAGGGAGUCACCGGCUCCAAGUGGCAUCUGUGUUAACACCUCCUGGCCAUGAGCCCAGGGCCCCCCAUGCCUGCCAGAGCCAGGAUCAAGCCCAUCAGCGCUCCAGACCCUCCUGCUGUCCCUUUGCCCUGGGGACUUACUGCUGCUCAGCUGUCAAAGGCGAGAGAGAAAAUCUUAGAACCUCUCUCCGGGAUGCACCUAACCACGACCAUGACAACAUGGACAGUCAUGACAACGAUGAUGACCGUGAGCAUUCACGAGCUUGUCCAGUGUGCCACGCCCGUGCUAAGUGCUUCCUGGACAGGACCACAUGCGGCCCUCAGAGCAUUGUAGGAGGCAGCCCUCCCAGAUUUGGAGCAGCUGUUCCAGCUUAAGGACCCUGCCAUGAUCUGGAGCUCAACCACAUAGAAGAUGGGAGUCACAGGCUGCCCCUCCCCCUUUGCUUGAUUUGUGAGACAGCAACAACAAAAAUAAAAUGACAUCAAGGGUUCCUUUGUAAAAAUCA